rnacentral:lncRNA from 1 species
AUAUGAGUGAGGCUACUAUACUAUCGGAAGCACGGAGCUUUCCGUGCUUUCAGCUCGUUUUCGAUGUUGCGACUUUCGAAUCGUCAAUCGGCCCCGUUAAACUUGAUCUAGAGUAUUUGAAGUACCUAGAAAAUAAAUUUUAUGAUUUUACGAUAUCAUUUGCCUAGUGAACAGAGGGGCUCAAAAUCAACGGCUGAAAAUAAAAAUCUUACAAAAUGUAAUAAUAUGACAUUAAAAUUUUAAAUCAAAAAUAUUGAUCUUGUAAAAGAAUUUUCUAUCAAAAUUUCACGUGAUUCGAUAUUUCUACACUGUUAAACUUGCAAACGGCUCACUACGGCCAUUGAAAUUUGUUGAUUUUGAGCCCAUUCAAUUACUAGG